rnacentral:lncRNA from 1 species
UAACUGAGUGAGCUAUCAGUUUUCGAGGUAUCAGGUUUCAGUUGCUUUAGAUUCAGGUUUACAGUGAUAAUGUUUACAGGUCACAGUAUCUAUGUGCUGAUCUAGGUGCAGAUUGUGUUUGGAUUAGAUUAAAGUUGUUGGUCCUAGAUGAGGGCAUAACAUUAGUCCAUAGUGCUGGUGUUGCUGGGACUCGUCAAAAUGUUAGGAGUAUCAGCUCCUCCUGUCAGCGUCUGCUAUCAGGUUUUCAGUGUCUGCUGCUUUCAGUUUCCAAUAGUGCUCUCAUACCAUUCAAGAUAUCCCAGAUGGAAGAAGCAGAAUCAUCCCCUGCGACAUGGCCAGCCCA